rnacentral:rRNA from 1 species
AUGCGACAUUUUUCGAUUGUGGUGAUGAAUGAUGUUUGUUUCGCAUCUUUUGGCUUCAUUGAUGAGUGUUUGAUUCUCAUCUUCGAGCAGAGUUUGGUCCGAGCCAAGUUUACCUAUACUUGGUCAGCUCGGGCGGCUUCGCUAGCCCAGCCGCUAUUGUUUUUGCCCAUUUGUGUUGUUGCUUUAGUAGCAUCCUCUGCUUUCUUUUACGUAGCAACAGAGCACCACUCUUACCCUGCACUUCUCUCCAGAUUAUGCUACAAUUACAAAUUUACAAUGCAUUCAUGCAUGAGCAGUGCAUGUGUUGGCGUCCAUGAGAUCAGGAAUAGUUUGAACAAAUGA